UACAGAGGUCUCAAGCGUUGUUCGGAUUCAUUGGGCAUAAAGGGUGUGUAGGUGGCGCGCUAAGUCGGGUGUGAAAUUUCGGAGCUUAACUCCGAAACUGCAUUCGAUACUGGCGUGCUUGAGGACUGGAGAGGAGACUGGAAUUCAUGGUGUAGCAGUGAAAUGCGUAGAGAUCAUGAGGAAGACCAGUGGCGAAGGCGGGUCUCUGGACAGUUCCUGACGCUGAGGCACGAAGGCCAGGGGAGCAAACGGG
rnacentral:rRNA from 1 species